rnacentral:lncRNA from 1 species
UACAAAAUCAAUUAUUCUGCACCUCAGAACACAAUGCUAUCGACAUUUUCAAGUGACAUCCAUCUACUCUGUAAAUGAGUUCUUCAUGGUCUCCUUCAGGGCAGAGAAAUCUUAUUAGAAGGGGGUGUACGGGCACCUGUUAACUUCGGAAAUAACUCUGUAUAUAUAGAGAGAAGUAUCGAUUACCCCUGAACUUGUCGCGUUUUAUUCACAAUACACUUGAACUUUGACUAGUCCUAAGUAUCUCCGAACUUGUUCUUUUAGUAUGUCGCGUGCCCCUUUUACAUUGAUGUGGCAAAAUAUUUGAGUUCAACCUCCAUCACGUGCGUGAUGGAGGUAUUUUUAUGCCAAAUCAGCAUUUUUAAUGAUAAAAA